ACGGGCUAAUAUCAGAUAAACAAUAACUUGGCAUCAAGUAAUUGUCAAAGCUUCGGCGCCCAAAGAUGAGUCUGCGGACCAUUAGGUAGUUGGUGGAUUUAACAGCCCACCAAGCCAACGAUGGAUAGCUGGUCUGAGAGGAUGAUCAGCCACACUGGAACUGAGACACGGUCCAGACUCCUACGGGAGGCAGCAGUAAGGAAUAUUGCUCAAUGGGAGAAAUCCUGAAGCAGCAACGCCGCGUGAAGGAAGAAGGGUCUUCGACUUGUAAACUUCUGUAGAAGAGGAAAAUACUCCGAUAUACUCGGAAUUGAUUGUACUCUUAAAGUAAGCCCCGGCUAACUACGUG
rnacentral:rRNA from 1 species